AGUGAACGCUGGCGGUAGGCCUAACACAUGCAAGUCGAACGGCAGCACAGUAAGAGCUUGCUCUUACGGGUGGCGAGUGGCGGACGGGUGAGGAAUACAUCGGAAUCUACUUUUUCGUGGGGGAUAACGUAGGGAAACUUACGCUAAUACCGCAUACGACCUACGGGUGAAAGCAGGGGAUCUUCGGACCUUGCGCGAUUGAAUGAGCCGAUGUCGGAUUAGCUAGUUGGCGGGGUAAAGGCACACCAAGGCGACGAUCCGUAGCUGGUCUGAGAGGAUGAUCAGCCACACUGGAACUGAGACACGGUCCAGACUCCUACGGGAGGCAGCAGUGGGGAAUAUUGGACAAUGGGCGCAAGCCUGAUCCAGCCAUACCGCGUGGGUGAAGAAGGCCUUCGGGUUGUAAAGCCCUUUUGUUGGGUAAGAAAAGCAGCAGGUUAAUACCCCGCUGUUCUGACGGUACCCAAAGAAUAAGCACCGGCUAACUUCGUG
rnacentral:rRNA from 1 species